rnacentral:rRNA from 1 species
UGACUCCUACGGGAGGCAGCAGUGGGGAAUAUUGCACAAUGGGGGAAACCCUGAUGCAGCCAUGCCGCGUGUGUGAAGAAGGCCUUCGGGUUGUAAAGCACUUUCAGUAGGGAGGAAGGUAGUGUAGUUAACACCUGCACUAUUUGACGUUACCUACAGAAGAAGCACCGGCUAACUCCGUGCCAGCAGCCGCGGUAAUACGGAGGGUGCGAGCGUUAAUCGGAAUUACUGGGCGUAAAGCGCAUGCAGGCGGCCUGUUAAGUCAGAUGUGAAAGCCCGGGGCUUAACCUCGGAAUUGCAUUUGAAACUGGCAGGCUAGAGUCUUGUAGAGGGGGUAGAAUUUCAGGUGUAGCGGUGAAAUGCGUAGAGAUCUGAAGGAAUACCAGUGGCGAAGGCGGCCCCCCUGGACAAAGACUGACGCUCAGAUGCGAAAGCGUGGGGAGCAAACAGGAUUAGAUACCCUGGUAG